rnacentral:lncRNA from 1 species
CUGCAAACUGCCUCUGCACUUCUUCAGUCUACAUCGUCGCAAAUCACACCAACCAAUGCAAAGAUUACAGAGCCUUCUGUUACAACCUCAACUUCCUCCAGCAGAAGUGUCACAGAUCAGACGGCAUUUUCUGAAUCCACAAGGACAAUGACUGCAGGAUCUUCAUUUCUGUCCUCUGACGCAUCUUCUGGAACAUCACACUCCACUGCGAACACAUCACAACAGUCACCAGACCAAACUCAAGCCUCAAUCACAUCAGAUGAUUUGGAUUCUACGUCCAUCACGGCAGAGCCAUCAUUUACAACCUCAAUGUCAGCUACAAAUACAAAGCAAACUUCCCAAAGUGCAACAGAGCCGACGGAGGAAUCAUUAACAACUGACCCACCGGAUGACACAACUGAUACUGAAAUAGCAUCGACUAUCAAAACACAUGUGGAAUCGACUACAAAUGCAAUUUCAGCCGUCGACGACACUGCAUCAGCCACAGAAAAUAACACUGAACAUUUAACUGAUGUGUUUUGGUCCUCUUCUGAUAACACAACAUGGAAUGAGUUUACAUUGAUAGACGACUUUAAUAGCACACUGAUAACCUUAAAUGAAACAACAUCUCAAUCAGAAAGUCUGCUAACUGACGGUCAAGAAACUCUGACACCUGUGAUGGAAUCGCAAUCAUCUCAGUCCGCAACAACUGACGCAACUCUAAAUCCAAGUCUGGUUACUUCCUCAGACUCAACAACACUGGUUGAGACCUCAAGCCCUGUCAUAGCAGCACAAGUUACAGCUACACCUAAAAUCCCCAACCCAGAGCACUCGCAAACACCUGUAACUGCUUUCACAGCAUCAACAUCUACAACAACACCAACGCCGGGAACAGUUUCAAGACAAGCAAUGACACCUGAUUCAAAGCCCACAUCUAUGAACACGCCCUCAAUGUUUCUGACCACUCAGGAAAAUCAGAAAACGAACACAAACGCCUCCUUAAAACCAUUUUCUCCAGCUUCUCCUCUCACAGCCACAAGCAGUGACCCUAAACCUGUCACCACUCCAUUAGCUGAGGAACACAAAGGCUCAACUGUGGGCAUAUCAAUUCAAACAGUGCUAAACAGGUCUGAUUCAGAAGGCACUACAAUCACAGACACCUGGUCAAACAGCAUAUCUUCAACACCAGCAGGUCUAACAAAUCCGCCAUUAUCAAGCAACACCAGCAGAGACGGAAACACAGAUGAUUCUGCAAACUCAGUGAAAAGCACCAUUGUUUUUGUCUUCAACAUUCCCAAAGUACCUGUGUUUAAAACAAUCACCUUCAAUCACCCACUGGUUAAUCAAGUCACAGUCAUGAACACAGUUUUAAAACCAUGAAACGGUCACAUAAAAUGACUUAAAAGCAAAAUGUGUGAUUCAGAGAGCAUAUAUUUGGCUACUUGUAUACGUGACAAUUGUGGAAGAGUCAAAAAGAGAAACUUCCAGCUAAAUGCAUCUUAAUGGAGAGAGAUUGGGAAUAUAAGGAAUGUAGAAGCCGAAGUGUUUUUGUGGUUACUUAACAGAGAGGAAGGCAAUGUCAAUUAUUUAAAUGUCAAGCAGACCAUACUGUAUGACUACAUGCUUUAAAACAAGCCAACACACACAAAAAAAGAUUGAAACCAAAACAAAUGAGAUGGACGAACAGGUGUAAUGUUUUAUGAAGACUAACUUUCAUUUCAACAAUCUAGGUGGGGCGAACAAUUGAUGCGUGAGUCUGUAGCAUAGCUUCUUAAUAAUUUAUUUGCAAUAAUAUAAUAAGAGUAUCAAUUGAAAAUUUCAUAACAUGCAAAUACUCAAACACAAACAAUAAUGAUCAAACAUAAACUUAAUUAUAUUCAAAUUAGUAAAUCAGUCCAUUCAGUCCAAAAUAUGAAAUUAGAAAAAGAAAUGGCUCCAACAUUCCGGCCCCUAAUUGUCAACUUGUGACAAUUCUAAUAAUUCAUUCAAAAAAGGAGCCAUGAUUUUUAACAAAAGUAACAAAAAAAAAGAAAGAAAAAAAAGCAAAAAAUUGUCCAAAAGUGUCAUAGAGUCUUCUGGUCAGUUUCUUCAGAUGCUCAUGACAUGUCUUUUAGGAAGCAUAAUUUGAUAAUAGGUCUCUCCAUGAUACUGUUCUUUGUCCUCACUUUAACUCUGCGUACAUACCUUUUGCUGUCCAGAAAUGUCUCCAAAAUUUGACCUAAAGGCCAAGAGUUCCAUGGUGAAGUAUCAUCGAUAAUGAGAACAAUAUCACCAGUUUUAAGGUUUUGUUUGCUUUUGUUCCACUUCUGCCUCUUCUGCAUUAGCGGGAGGUACUCUCUAAUCCAGCGUUUCCAGAAAAGGUCGCAAAUAUACUAUACUUGUUUCCAUCUUCUUCUGGAAUAAAUGUCAUCCUUCUGAAAAAUCCCAGGAGGCUAAAUAGGAACACCUUUCAUCUGAAGCAAAUUAUUAGGGGUUAAGGCUUCUGGAUCUUUAGCAUCCUCUGAAACUGCAGUGAUUGGAUGAUUGUUGAGUAUGGCUUCCACUUCACAUAAAGCAGUCUGUAGGCCUUCAUCAUCAAGGGUCUCCUGUCUCAGGAUGGAGUAUAGGAUCUUUUUGAGAAUUCAAAUUAUUCGUUCCCAUACACCUCCAUGAUGAGAAUCUAAAGGAGGAUUGAAAGUCCACUUCACAUUCUCUCUCAGCAGUACCUUCUGUAUUUUAUCUUGGUUGAUGUCAGCAAGUGCUUCUCUCAAUUCUCACUCUGCCCCGAUGAAGUUGGUUCCAUUAUCCAAAAUUAUCUCCUUGACUUGACCCCUUCUACACGUAAAUCUUCUGAGAGCACAAAUACAGGAAUCUGUGUUCAGAGAAUAGGCCACUUCAAGAUGAACAGCUCUACUAUUAAAGCAGGUAAAUAUCACUCCAUAUCUUUUGACAUGAGCUCUCCCCCUCUUCACCUCAAUGGGACCAAAGUAAUCGAUUCCAACGUGACUGAAAGGUGGUAAAUCAGGAGUGAUUCGAUUUAGGGUUAAGUCUGCCAUCUUUUGUUCACUUGCAGAUCCAUGCCAACGUCUACAGAAAAGGCAAUCUCUGAUGACUUUCCUGGCAGUAGUAUUACCUCUGGUAAUCCAAUAUCUUUUAUGGAGUUUAGCAAGCAGUUGGCUUCUACCACAAUGACCUGACAUAUUGUGAAUAUUGUUCAUUGACAGUCUACACAGAUGACUAUUGUUAGGUAGAAUAGCUCAGUGUUAAUUUUGAC